UGAUGUGCAGUUCAGUUUGAAACAGAAAAAUGAGUCUUGAAUUUGUUAAUAUUACGUCUGGAAGUUCGUAGUUUGUACUAAAACCUGUGUAAUACUCGAUAAAUCAAGCAAAGAAUCAAUCUUUGACGACGAUCUUAAUGCGGGCUGAUAUUUGUCUACGGCAAUGACGAACAGCAAGUAGGGAGAAUGGACCACCCAUGUAGAAAGGUCUCUCUCGACGCGGCCUCGAGUACCCUCAGGAGUCGCACGCGGACCAAGUACUCCAUCGGGCUGAGGAGUAGUCGCCUGGACAGCAUACCGGGUAGAAUAUGACACCAGAUACCCUGGCGCCCCUAAAACAACACGGAAAAUCCAAAGAAGCAUCACGGCAACUCGUUCACCCUUCGGUAAUUUCUUGGACGCGGAAAGGAUUAUCCAGGGUCGGCAGGUAUGGUCCUGUACAUACGUAGAUACCUGUCCGAGACGGAAGGCAAAGUCUGCCGAGGGUUCGCGCGUUAGCGCGCGUGUGUGCCCGACCCGGUUUACUUAGGCACGGCCGAGAAAUUGAAAUUUUCGUAAACUGGGGGGGAUUAGGGGGUCCGGCCGCACGACAAACUCCUCGUUAAUUAGAAUGUAAUCCACCGCUUAAUGGGACCCGUCCGCCGUAAUAAAAUCAGACGGCGCGCACCUCGCCACCGCCGUUCUUCGCGGUCUGAGACACCGGCUGGUCCCGUCGAUCUCCGCUGCAAGGAUCGUUCGGAAAUUAAAUGGAGCCCGGUUCGAGGACACCGGCCUGGUUUAAGGAUCAGCUCGAGGAAGAUACACAAGGACCGUUUUAAUCCGUACGUGCCACGUUUCUCGUUAUAUCGGUAAAAAUGACCGGGACGAAAAUUCAAACAUCCAACUGGAUAUCUGGCUACAAUAUUAUUGUACUCCGGUUUAGCCAGAUCGGUGCGCGUAUGGACGGACGAAAUCCAAGGGGUAAACUCCCCUCUUACGAGAAUAAUCUAACGAGUAAACGACGGCUACGUAGCCGGCGCGUAUCAAGUUGACGUUAACCGGCGUUCAACCAGCGCUGCACGUCGUUUCGCUCGAUUGAAUUAAUUAUAAGCGAGCGUCAACAAUUACGCCGUCUAACGAACCGGGAUAGUUGACCGAUCCGACGUACGCGUUACGUUAAACGAUUAAUUUUACUCCGGUAUUCGGCAUGUAUUCAUUCGGCAAAGUUAAAUCUAGACCACUCCGAUGCUCGUCGCGUCUAAAGCUCUGACUCGUCGUUCUCCAAAUUUCAAAACGUUCUCAACGAUUAAUUCCUUUGAUUUAGUAUUUUCUUAUAAUGCAAACUGCAUUCUCCACUCUGAUAAUCCAUUAAGAAAUCCGAUAUAAAACCUGAUUAUUAACGGCAGUGUGAGAACGCGCGGAAGUAGAGGAACAUCGGGCAAAAGAGCGAAAUUAUAGGUCUAUUUCAAACCGAAUUCGUGGGAACGAAUUUGCUGCGAAGAGACCAGCGGAUAGAGAUAAGUAACAUCGAGUCAAAUAUUUGUCUCAUCCGCGAGAGCGUUGGUUAAUCGUAGUAACUUUAAUUAAAAGUGGCGCAUGCUGGUAUUACGUGACACGUGAAACAAAAUUGAAUGACGCUCGUCUGCUUAAAUCGUCGCACGAGAGAACGGACGAUUUCAUAUUUUUUCUUGCCAGGCCCCGUUAUUUAAAAAAGGUUUAGCUUAUGCGAAUCAAAAUAAUAAAGCAUUCAUUGUCUGGUUAAGUAUAGUUUCUGCUUGUUAAUUAACGGAUCAUAAGAUAAACCACUGACGAGCUGAUUGGAAAUAAGAAUUUUGCAAAUUUUGCCGCGAAUCGUCGGAGCUUUAAUUUUUUUUAUUUUUCUAAUUAUUUGUGCAGGAAGCGAUGAAGGACGCGGGCCGACGCGGCGCGAUAUAUCCAGUUAUGAAAUUGAAUUGAAAAUUAUAUACCAGCUCGCCGGUACGCAGCGUCGCAUCGCGCGUCGGUCCACGCGCUGCGUGAAAUGUAUCAAAAUUGUUUGCAGUUUUUAUCGUGUUUACCGUGGCAGCGAAUUAUUAUAUCGUAUUUCCAUAAAGCCAUUACACUCCAUUAAAAUGAUAUUCGCAGCGCGGCGCUAAUCGAUCGGGCCGCGCACACGCGUAAACUUUUUGUUUAUGACGGCCGGGUUUAUUGUUACCCCGCCCGCGCAGAUCGAAAUUAUAUUUUUAUAUUUUACGCCCGCCACGCUUUUUCAGUUCGUUAUUCAUCGCUCGAUUAUCUGGCUGCUUACCCCACGAGAAAAUAAAUAUCAGCGCGCCGCGAUAUUAAUUACAAAUAUUCAUAUUAACGUCCGGCGAGUUUGUUUUACUUAUUUAACUAUAUAAACCUAUCGACACUGUUUCGGCGCUAAUACGCUGCAUUUUUUUUAAUACCCGAAUGCAAUUUAAGGUUUGCAUUAAUACCGCGUCAAGCGGAUUAUUAUUCUCAUCCGAUGGAGAUGCGAUCUAAUUUUAAGAGUCAUCGAGCGAAAAAUAAAAACCGAUUGCUUCGGGAUUCUUAGAAAAAUGCCUUACUGUGUUAUAUAGUUGACAAUGGCUUCUUGAGAGUUCUAGUAUGUAAUCGCAAAAAUGACAUGUCAGAUUUAUCGCGUCGAUAAAUAAAUAUUUAACAGAAUGGUUCUAAUCUAAAGCUUCGAAUAUGAUGUACGUAUGUGUACGGUAGUAAGCACUCAAAGUAAUGGCUCGGAAUUAGUUGGUCAAAUGAACAAUCGGUAGAUAGGUACUUGAGAACGAUUCGUAACGAGUCGAGUAAUCGAUGUAUACACACAAUACAGUUUAUUUUUCUUUCAUCCUCGAUGGCUAUCAAGCACUACCGUCUCAAGCUGGUUCAAACCCGAUCGUUUUACUCAAAUUAAAUGAUUUAACUCGAUAUACAUACGUAUAAUGCCUAACAUGGAAAGCCAAAUACAAAUUUGUAUACCAAAACAAGUGUUUUGUCUCAAAUAGGCUUUGGAUUUUGUGCAAUUAUCAAAAAACUGAAUGUACAGAAAUCAUAAAUACCAUGUAUAACGUAAAACAGUUCAGAAUAUCAAAAACUCAA